rnacentral:pre_miRNA from 1 species
AAGAUACUCCCUCUGUCCCAAAAUAACUGUCUUAAGCUUAGUACAAUUUUAUACUAGAGUUAAUACAAAGUUGAGACAGUUAUUUUGGGACAGAGGGAGUAUAAA